AAUAUUGGACAAUGGGGGAAACCCUGAUCCAGCCAUGCCGCGUGUGUGAAGAAGGUCUUCGGAUUGUAAAGCACUUUAAGUUGGGAGGAAGGGUUGUUGGCUAAUAUCUAGCAAUUUUGACGUUACCGACAGAAUAAGCACCGGCUAACUCUGUGCCAGCAGCCGCGGUAAUACAGAGGGUGCAAGCGUUAAUCGGAAUUACUGGGCGUAAAGCGCGCGUAGGUGGUUCGUUAAGUUGGAAGUGAAAGCCCCGGGCUUAACCUGGGAGUUGCUUUCAAAACUGACGAGCUAGAGUACGGUAGAGGGUAGUGGAAUUUCCUGUGUAGCGGUGAAAUGCGUAGAUAUUGGGAGGAACACCAGUGGCGAAGGCGACUACCUGGACGAAAACUGACGCUGAGGCACGAAAGCUAGGGGAGCAAAC
rnacentral:rRNA from 1 species